rnacentral:piRNA from 1 species
UGCCAACCAUAAUGCAACCUUCUCUGCUU